GACGAACGCUGGCGGCGUGCUUAACACAUGCAAGUCGUACGGUAAGGCCCUUUCGGGGGUACACGAGUGGCGAACGGGUGAGUAACACGUGAGUAACCUGCCCACAACUUUGGGAUAACGCUAGGAAACUGGUGCUAAUACUGGAUAUGUGCUCCUGCUGCAUGGUGGGGGUUGGAAAGCUCCGGCGGUUGUGGAUGGACUCGCGGCCUAUCAGCUGGUUGGUGGGGUAGUGGCCUACCAAGGCGGCGACGGGUAGCCGGCCUGAGAGGGUGACCGGCCACAUUGGGACUGAGAUACGGCCCAGACUCCUACGGGAGGCAGCAGUGGGGAAUAUUGCACAAUGGGCGCAAGCCUGAUGCAGCAACGCCGCGUGCGGGAUGACGGCCUUCGGGUUGUAAACCGCUUUCAGCAGGGACGAAGCUUUUUGUGACGGUACCUGCAGAAGAAGCACCGGCUAACUACGUG
rnacentral:rRNA from 1 species